AUCUCAGUUCGGAUUGUAGUCUGNAACCCGACUACAUGAAGCUGGAAUCGCUAGUAAUCGCAGAUCAGAAUGCUGCGGUGAAUACGUUCCCGGGUCUUGUACACACCGCCCGUCACACCAUGGGAGUUGGAAAUGCCCGAAGCCAGUGACCCAACCGUAAGGAGGGAGCUGUCGAAGGUGGAGCCGAUGACUGGGGUGAAGUCGUAACAAGGUAUC
rnacentral:rRNA from 1 species